ACGAUCUAGUUUCCUACCCACCAGAUCUAUACACUGGUCUGAGUGGUUGUAAGAGGGGAAAAGUAAAGUUGAAAUAGACUUCGAUUUUUGUGUGACAUAUUAGAUCAUUUAAAAAUAAUAAGC
rnacentral:snoRNA from 1 species